UCUCCUACCCGCGUCGUGCUCCUGCCAUCUCCUUCCUCUUCCUCUUGGCCUGCUCCUCCUUCCUCCCCCCUCCUGCUCCUCCCUCCUGCUCCCUUCUACUCCUCGCUCCUCCUCUCUGCACGCAGCACCGUCCUCCCGCCACAGAGUCUCGAGCCGCCACCCACAGCGCUUCCUCCCAUUGCCGCCUCGCUGCGUUGUCCGUCACCGCCCGCCGCCUACAACGUCUCCAGCCAUCCCUGGUGGCCAUGGGUAUCCGAGAUCUAGACAACCAUCAGGCUUGUUCUGCCUGGCAAGUUGGCUAAGCAUGCGGUGUACGAGGGUACGAAGGCCGUCAGGAAGUUCACGAGUUCUUGAAUCAAAUAGAUCCGUUGAUUACCAGUUGUGAAGAUGUUUUCCGAAAUUCGUAUGUUUGCUGAGGUUUCUGAAUGAGCUGACUCAGCGGGACUCGAACGCAGAUUGAGCCGUGUGGCUACAGCAAAAUUAUCAAGUCGUGCUUAGAGUUUCGAAUUCGCUUGUUCGCAGAUCCCUCAACACGUUUCGAAAAUCGGAGGAUGGCUUGCUUUACAUUGAAGCUGGCCCAUCAGGAGUCGACAGUUGGAAACUGGAUCCAAUUGUUGAACUUUUGAGAGAGGGAGCAGUGGGGGUCAUUCCCACAAACACUAUGUAUUUUUUGAGGAAGAUGAAGAAAGUUAAGAAGAGCAAAGGACAAAUUCUUGCCAUUAAUAAGUAUUGUGUAUUGCAUGCUGGUAGUGGAUCUAAAGGCGCAUGCUAUUUUAUCUAAAUGUCACCUGCAUGGCUGAUGCAACGUCUUGUGAAUUGGAUGCUGUAGAAACUCCUAGGAUAUCUGGUGCAUGUUUUUGUGAUAUACAGGAUGGGAAAAUGUUCUAUCUACAGAGGGGUUUGCAGCUGUCAUAACAUCAGCACGAUGCCAUGCACUACAGUCGGAUGUAGCUACUGUUUAUUUUUUUUGUUCUAUGAACAAAUGGAAUUUGUAUAUUUUAAUUUUAAUUUGUAUAAUGUAUUUGUAUUUGAAUUUGAUUUUUUUUUUUUGUGUUUUUUUUGUUAUCUGAAUGUAUGGAAUUUUUGUAUUUUAAUUGAAUUUGCAUAAUGUAUUUGUAUUUGAAUUA